AUGAUGAGGGCAUGGAGGAGCCCCCCUAGCAACAAGCGCCGCAACUACGGCCACUACCAUCAGGAGGAUGGCCCAACUCACUUCUGCAAGGUCAUCCUUGCACCGAAGCUUGAGUGCAUCCCCAUGCCCCUGGACUUCACCAAGCACUUCGUCGCGGUGCCGACGGAGUUCAAGCUCAGGAACAACACCGGCUGCUCCUGGAAGGUGACGGUGAAGCUGAUGAACGGCAGGGUGACCCUGGAUCAGGGUUGGGCCACCUACGCAGCCGUUCAUCAGAUCAAGAUCGGCUACAUGGUGAGGUUCAAGCUCCUCACUCCAGACACCCUCAAGGUCACCAUCUUCGACGACGAUUGCAUUGAGGUCGUCAACAAGUGCGGGAAGCACGACGAAGCCUUCGCCGCCAAGGAGUAG
rnacentral:rRNA from 1 species